rnacentral:tmRNA from 1 species
GGGGCUGACUGGAUUUGACAGCGAGAUGAAGUGGUGCGUAAGCAUGCAGUGAGUCGCUGGUCCUCACUUAAAUCAUAGCCUGCAAAGAAUUAAUUGGCGAAACUUCUUACGCUCUCGCUGCUUAAUCGAAGUAUAGUAGAUUAGCUUUAUUCCCUUGCUAGGCGAGGGAACGAGACAUCGCCCAGAAAGCUAUCCGUCCUGAAGCGUUCUGAUCAGCGGUGCUAUAAAAUCGGGAAUAGCCUAUGCAUGCCUCGAUGCAUAGGUGAAGCUUUAGAGGAUAAGGCUGUGGUUGGUGGCUCAGGUCUUGCCACAGCUCGAAAACCGAAGGCUGAGAUAAGCAUGUAGAAAGCGUAUGGCUUCCUUGUUUGGACGAGGGUUCAAUCCCCUCCAGCUCCACUA